UCGUGACUGUAUAUUUCGCAUCAUUCGUGUUUUCUUUUGUGCUGACGUUGUUCACAGGAUGACUAACUAAAGUGAUGCCUAUAAAAGUAAGUUAUAGGUUAUAGGACAGACAUAUAAUAAUUGAACUCACGUUGAAUUAUUAACAAGCAAUAUAUUUUAUGAAAAUGCCGGCUUAUUGGAGCAUGAUCGCCUUGUUUUCUUUAGCUGCCGUUGUUUAUUCGCAAGAGGCUGCAUCAUGCGUUUAUACCAUGGAGAAUAUGUUAGAGAAGAUUAUUAAGAUAGGGAUAAAGGUUGAGUAGAUAGAGAAAAGAAUAACUGUGAUUGAGACGCAGCAGAAUGCGCCUCCAACACCACAAACACCAGUAAAUGAUACCCUGUCAGUCAUCAGAACUCCAAAAAUUGCUUUUAGAAUCCAGUUGAAAUCUGACCUUGGGUCUGUAAAAUCUGGUUCAACAGUAAAAUUUGAUCAGGUUGACCUUAACCUUGGCAAUGCGUACAAUGACGGUGUCUUUACGGCGCCGUAUAACGGCACGUAUAUAUUUUCGAUAGUACUUGGAAACCCUGCGGGAAAGCCUGGAGCCUUCUUCAUGAAGAAAAAUAACGUUGGAAUCGAGUAUGCCAUAGCUGGACACACGACGGGAUGGAAUAUUGGCGGUGUCACCACGGUGGCUGAACUUGUUACCGGUGAUCGAGUAUGGGUUGAAGGGGAAGGAUAUGUGUCUGGCGGCUAUUCCAUAGCCAGAUACCACACUGGGUUCUCUGGAAUUCUUGUGAACGCAUACUGAAUGGAAGAAUUACUCACAGCUACAGAAGAAAACGUGACUUAUUUUUUGUAGACUAAUGUAAAGCAACACCGCCCUCCCUUAAAUGUGCAUCUUUUAUUGUCCACAGAACUAUUUAUUACCAAAGUAUAGAAAGCCAGAAAAGAUUGUAAAGUAAGUCAAAUUUUAGUUAAAAGGCUACACUUUUCGAAUAUCUUCUAAAAUUCCACGGCAUUCCAUAUUGCGAGCGUCCUAAAUAUGUAAAUAAUACACCUAUUUUGUAAAUUUUUUAUUUGUAAACAAUAAAGUUUCAAUAUUUAAAAAAUACCGAUAAAAGAGUUUUUAGCUCACCUGUCACGAAGUGACAAGGUGAGCUAUAGCGAUCGUUUGAUGUGCGUCGUCCGUCGUGCGUCGUGCGUCAACAAUUUGUAAAGAAAUCUUCUUCUUGAAAACCACUGGGCAGAAUUACACCAAACUUCACAGGAAUGAUCCUUGGAUGGCCCCCUUUCAAAAUUGUUCAAAGAAUUGAAUUCCAUGCAGAACUCUAGAUGCCAUUGCAACCGAAAGGAAAAACUUUAAAAAUCUUCUUAUCCAAAACCACAGGGCCUAGGGCUUUCAUAUCCGGUGUGUAGCAUCACCUAGUGGUCCUCAACAAAAAUUAUUCAAAUUAUUCCCCUAGGGUCAAAUAUGGCCCCGCCCUGGGGGUCACAUGGUUUAUAUAGACUUAUAUAGGGAAAACUUUGAAAAUCUUCUUGUACAAAACCACAUGGCCUAGGGCUUUGAUAUUUAGUAUGUAGCAUCAUCUAGUGGUCCUCUACCAAGAUUGUUCAAAUUAUCCCCCUAGGAUCAAAUAUGGCUCCGCCCCGGGGGUCCCAAGUUUUACAUAGACUUAUAAAGGAAAAUUUCUAAAAAAUCUUCUUCUUGAAAACCACUGGGUAGAAUUACACCAAACUUCACAGGAAUGAUCCUUGGAUGGCCCCCUUUCAUAAUUGUUCAAAGAAUUGAAUUCCAUGCAGAACACUACAGGGCCUAGAGCUUUGAUAUCUGGUGUGUAGCAUUAUCUAGUGGUCCUCUAUCAAAAUUAUUCAAAUUAUCCCCCUAGGGUCAAAUAUGGCCCCGCCCCGGGGGUCACAUGGUUUAUAUAGACUUAUAUAGGGAAAACUUUGAAAAUCUUCUUGUACAAAACCACAUGGCCUAGGGCUUUGAUAUUUGAUACGUAGCAUCAUCUAGUGGUCCUCUACCAAGAAUAUUCAAAUUUUCCCCCUAGGAUUAAAUAUGGCCCCGCCCCGGGGGUCCCCAGUUUUACAUAGACUUAUAUAGAAAAAAAAGUUUAAAAAUCUUCUUGUCUGAAACCACAACACUUAGACCUUUGAUAUUUGGUUUGUUGCAUUGUCUUAUGGUCUUCAACCAAAAUUGUUCAAAUUGUACCCCUUGGUCGAAAAGAGGCCCUGCCCUGGGGGUCCCAAGUUUUAUAUAGACUUAUAUAGGAAAAAGCUUUAAAAAUCUUCUUGUCUGAAACUACAUGGCCUAGGGCUUUGAUAUUUGGUAUGAUGCAUUGUCUAGUAGUCCUCUACCAAAAUUGUUCAAAUUAUGCCCCUGGGGUUAAAAGAGGCCCCGUCCUGGGGUCACUUAGUUAUUAUGUGUGUUAUAUAGGAAAAAUAUUUAAAAAUCAUCUGAUCCUAUUUCCAAGACUGUUUAAUUAUAAUUACCUGAUGACUCCAAGUAAUAUGAUGUCACUUGACUGUGGCCUUGACCUACUGACCUACUUUCUUGUUUUUUAAUAUACAGCCUUGAAAUUUUGAUGACAUACACAGUUUUGCACACAAAUCGUAAAACUGAAUUUCAUUGACCAUGAAUGUGACCUACUGACUUUUCUUAAUAUUUUAGCAUCAGUUUGACAUUUGAAACAUGUAGCUCAUAUUACUCAGGUGAGCGAUCCAGGGUCAUCAUGACUCUCUUGUUUCCUUUUUGUCACUGUUUGUCUUUAAAUCUUUAUCUUUGAAUUAAUCCAUGUUUGCUUUGAAUUGUUUUUCCAAUCCAAAUAGACAUACAUUUCAAUGGAAGAGAUAAAGCUGCUACAGUUAAAAAGAAAUAGAAAUUGUUGACGUUGUAUGUUUUAAAACAUAUUGUGAUAUGUAAUAAAAACAGCUGGAAUAUCUCGUACCUGA